ACUUGGGAAACAGGUGCUAAUACCGGAUAAGAAAGCAGAUCGCAUGAUCAGCUUUUUAAAGGCGGCGUAAAGCUGUCGCUAUGGGGAUGGCCCCGCGGUGCAUUAGCUAGUUGGUAAGGUAAAGGCUUACCAAGGGCGAUGAUGCAUAGCCCGAGUUGAGAGACUGAUCGGCCACAUUGGGGACUGAGACACGGCCCAAACUCCUACGGGAGGCAGCAGUAGGGAAUCUUCCACAAUGGACGCAAGUCUGAUGGAGCAAACGCCGCGUGAGUGAAGAAGGUUUUCGGAUCGUAAAGCUCUGUUGUUGGUGAAGAAGGAUAGAGGUAGUAACUGGCCCUUUAUUUGACGGUAAUCAACCAGAAAGUCACGGGCUAACUACGUGCCAGCAGCCGCGGUAAAAU
rnacentral:rRNA from 1 species